GUAGUAGCUCAUUGGCAGAGCAUCUGCUUUGCAUGCAGAAGGUCCCAGGUUCAAUCCCUGACAUCGGCA